rnacentral:misc_RNA from 1 species
AGCAGCCGCGGUAAUUCCAGCUCCAAUAGCGUAUAUUAAAGUUGUUGCAGUUAAAAAGCUCGUAGUUGAAUUUCGGGAUCAAAGGAUCGGCCAUGCCUUGGUAUGUACUGGUUUUAUUGGUUCUCACCUUCUAAAAGAACCAUAAUGUCAUUCAUUUGAUGUUAUGGGGAAUUAGGACUGUUACCUUGAAAAAUUAGAGUGUUUAAAGCAAGCUAACGCUUGAAUACAUUAGCAUGGAAUAAUGAAAUAGGACGUUUGAUUCUAUUUUGUUGGUUUCUAGGAUCGACGUAAUGAUUAAUAGGGAUAGUUGGGGGCAUUAGUAUUCAAUUGUCAGAGGUGAAAUUCUUGGAUUUAUUGAAGACUAACUACUGCGAAAGCAUUGCCAAGGAUGUUUUCAUUAAUCAAGAACGAAAGUUAGGGGAUCGAAGACGAUCAGAUACCGUCGUAGUCUUAACCAUAAACUAUGCCGACUAGGGAUCGGAUGAUGUUAAUUUUUUAAUAGUACUCAUUCGGCGCCUUA